rnacentral:lncRNA from 1 species
CAAACUGACUUCAACAAACUGGCCGCAUUCCACAAUACCUGCCUGAGAAGAAUAUGCAAAAUCUUUUGGCCAAACAAAAUAUCCAACCAGGAACUUUUCAAACUGACAGCACAAAGAGAUAUAAGAGACGAAAUAAAAACAAGAAGAUGGAAAUGGAUAGGCCAUGUCUUAAGGAAGGAACCAGCAAACAUCGCUAAAGUGUCACUGAGGUGGACUCCAACUGGUAAGAGGAAAAGGGGGAGACCUAAAGAAACAUGGAGAAGAACAGUGGAAAGCGAGAUGAAGGAGGUUGGGAUGUCUUGGCGAGAAGUAGAGAAGAAAGCACAAGACAGAGUGUUAUGGAGAGAGCUAGUGUCGGCCUUAUGUGCAUCAAAGCACGAAGAGGAUUAAGUAAGUAAGUAAGUAUU